CCUUUGAGGGUGUGAGGCCCCCAGCUAGAACACUGGGUUGAUAGGCUGGAUGUGGAAGCGAGGACUGAAGACUCGUGAAGCUGACCAGUACUAAUAGGCCGAUGACUUACACACA
rnacentral:rRNA from 1 species